UCUACGGGAUGCUGCAGUGGGGAAUAUUGCACAAUGGGGGAAACCCUGAUGCAGCGACGCCGCGUGAGUGAAGAAGUAUUUCGGUAUGUAAAGCUCUAUCAGCAGGGAAGAAAUAGCGACCUUUGGGUCGCCAGACGGUACCUGACUAAGAAGCCCCGGCUAACUACGUGCCAGCAGCCGCGGUAAUACGUAGGGGGGAAGCGUUAUCCGGAUUUACUGGGUGGAAGGGGAGCGUAGACGGCAGCACAAUGCUGAAGUGAAAUGCCGGGGCUUAACCCCGGAACUGCUUUUGAAACUGUGCAGCUAGAGUGCAGGAGAGGUAAGUGGAAUUCCUGGUGUAGCGGUGAAAUGCGUAGAUAGUAGGAGGAACACAAGUGGCGAAGGCGGCUUACUGGACUGUAACUGACGUUGAGGCUCGAAAGCGUGGGGAGCAAACAGGAUUAGAUACCCGAGUAGUC
rnacentral:rRNA from 1 species